GUGGCAGGUAGAGGCACGAAAGCGCCGGACUUCUAAUCCGAUGGCCGCAGGUUCGAAUCCUGCC
rnacentral:tRNA from 1 species